rnacentral:rRNA from 1 species
AACGAACGCUGGCGGCAUGCCUAACAUAUGCAAGUCGAACGAGACCUUCGGGUCUAGUGGCGCACGGGUGCGUAACGCGUGGGAACCUGCCCUUAGGUUCGGAAUAACUCCCCGAAAGGGGUGCUAAUACCGGAUAAUGUCUUCGGACCAAAGAUUUAUCGCCUUUGGAUGGGCCCGCGUUGGAUUAGCUAGUUGGUAGGGUAAAAGCCUACCAAGGCGACGAUCCAUAGCUGGUCUGAGAGGAUGAUCAGCCACACUGGGACUGAGACACGGCCCAGACUCCUACGGGAAGCAGCAGUGGGGAAUAUUGGACAAUGGGCGAAAGCCUGAUCCAGCAAUGCCGCGUGAGUGAUGAAGGCCUUAGGGUUGUAAAGCUCUUUUACCCGGGAUGAUAAUGACAGUACCGGGAGAAUAAGCUCCGGCUAACUCCGUG